GUGCUCGCCUGGGCAGCACUCAUAUUACAGUGGGAACAAGACGGAUGAUUCGCAUGGCCCCCUGCACAGGAUGACCUGCAAAUGUGUGAAGCAUUCUGGAGUUUU